CAGCAGCCGCGGUAAUACGAAGGGUGCAAGCGUUAAUCGGAAUUACUGGGCGUAAAGCGUGCGUAGGCGGUGAGUUAAGUCUGCUGUGAAAUCCCCGGGCUCAACCUGGGAAUGGCCGUGGAUACUGGCUCGCUAGAGUGUGUCAGAGGAUGGUGGAAUUCCCGGUGUAGCGGUGAAAUGCGUAGAGAUCGGGAGGAACAUCAGUGGCGAAGGCGGCCAUCUGGGACAACACUGACGCUGAGGCACGAAAGCGUGGGGAGCAAACAGGAUUAGAUACCCCUGUAGUCCCUGUCUCUUAUAC
rnacentral:rRNA from 1 species